CAGUCGCCCGCGGGAAUACCGAGGGUGCGAGCGUUAAUCGGAUUUACUGGGCGUAAAGCGUGCGUAGGCGGCUUCUUAAGUCGGAUGUGAAAUCCCUGAGCUUAACUUAGGAAUUGCAUUCGAUACUGGGAAGCUAGAGUAUGGGAGAGGAUGGUAGAAUUCCAGGUGUAGCGGUGAAAUGCGUAGAGAUCUGGAGGAAUACCGAUGGCGAAGGCAGCCAUCUGGCCUAAUACUGACGCUGAGGUACGAAAGCAUGGGGAGCAAACAGGAUUAGAGACCCCCGUAGUCCCUGUCUCUUAUU
rnacentral:rRNA from 1 species